rnacentral:tRNA from 1 species
GGGCACAUGGUGUAGUUGGUUAUCACGCUCGCUUAGCAUUAAAAACUCAUUUGCGAGAGGUGUUGGGUUCAAUUCCCAAUGUGUCCA